AUGGAGUUUCAGACCCAGGUACUCAUGUCCCUGCUGCUCUGCGUGUCUGGUGCCUGUGCAGACAUUGUGAUGACUCAGUCUCCAACUUUCCUUGCUGUGACAGCAAGUAAGAAGGUCACCAUUAGUUGCACAGCCAGUGAGAGCCUUUAUUCAAGCAAACACAAGGUGAACUACUUGGCUUGGUACCAGAAGAAACCAGAGCAAUCUCCUAAACUGCUAAUUUAUGGGGCAUCCAACCGAUACACUGGGGUCCCUGAUCGCUUCACAGGCAGUGGAUCUGGGACAGAUUUCAUUCUGACCAUCAGCAGUGUGCAGGCUGAAGACCUCACGCAUUAUUACUGUGCACAGUUUUACAGCUAUCCUCUCACAGUGCUUCAGCCUCCUACACAAACCUCCUUGAGAGUCUCACCAGCUGCCUAUACCACACACACCCCAGGUCUUGCACAUUCCUCUCCCCUUCCUGAGAGGUGGUGUGCCUGA